AUUCUCAAACUUUAAAUAG
rnacentral:snRNA from 1 species